GCGUUCAUAGCUCAGUUGGUUAGAGCACCACCUUGACAUGGUGGGGGUCGUUGGUUCGAGUCCAAUCGGACGCACCA
rnacentral:tRNA from 1 species